ensembl:lncRNA
UGAAUACAACGUUCAAAAGAACAGCAUUUAUUUGCAUUAGAAAUCUUACAUAAAAUUCAUAUUAUUAACAAAUUGUUAACAAUCAUAUUGUUAACAGUUGUUACUUAUUUAUUUGGUGCUUAGUAUUUAAAUUACUUUUUUCCUCUAGAACUUUCAUCAUAUUAUAUAUUAAUUUAUGAUAAAUUAUACAUUUAUCUCUUGCAGCCUUGUUCUCAUUUGUAAAAAAAAAAAAAAAUUCAAUAUGGCAUCUAUCCUGACUAUGUCCAUGGCUGUUCAAACCCUUUCUGGGAACAUUCCUCAUAUCAUUGUGUUGGUGAGUGUGGACAGUUGGGUGUUUGAGUGUUUGUGUACAGGCCUGUGGGUUUGCACUCAGAAUGCAUCCUCUCUAGACAUCUGGUGCUGACGGUACAAGUUUAGAGAAGAGAAAAGUUUGUUCUUUAACAUAUCUGUAGCCCCUUUCACACAUAUACACACAAGCGUGCAAUCACACACAUACACACACACACACACACACACACACACACCCUGAUGGCCGAUUCAGAAAUGUGGGUGAGGCAUGCAAGUGUCAGCCUAGGGCGAGGAAAAGCCAUAAACCGUCCCAGCAUUCCAGCAUUCUGCCCCUCUAAAGAUCAUGUCAGACUUCCUGCUCUAUUGCACAUGAUGUUGAAACAUGCUGUUGCCACUCUUUCAUGGCUCUACAUUUUGUAGUGGCUUUUAGAAGUUAGAACCGGUUGCGCCAAGACUACAUGCAGUAUACAUCAGAACCAGAAUCAGAAAGAGCUUUAUUGCCAGUCGUUGGCACAUACAACACCUCAUCACAUUUGUCGUUCCGUAAGGGAAUGCUUCCGGGAUGUGUGGCAUCCAAAACCGAAAACGAAUGGUGGGACAGAUAUCUCAGAUCCAGUGUUGAUGUCUUGCAUAAGAAAGCUACAUCAUACUGUUGUAACCAUGGGAAUCGAAGAUCAGACAAGAAAAAGAAGCGGACUGAAAGGACCUGCUCAUGUUUACCCUGGCCUGUCUGUCAAUCAAAGAGACAGAUGAAAACAUGUGUCCCUCUGUUAGCAUAUGUUCACUUUUCAAGACCACUAAAGUCACCUUGCAUCUUUUCACGUUUUUCUUAUUUUAGUUGCCUUGAGGAACGUUUUAUUCCUCAGAAAUUGCUCUUUCGUAGCUCAGGUAUAAGCUAUAAGUAAGUAUUUCAUGUCCAUCUGAAACCAUUAAAAAUCAUUUUUAUCUUAGAAUAUUUGUUUUAAAAUACCUUAGAAAACAUAAAAUACACUAAAUGAAUAAUUGCUCAAAUAUACUAUUAAGGCGUAUAGUUCAC